AUUGAACGCUGGCGGCAUGCUUUACACAUGCAAGUCGAACGGUAACAGGGAGCUUGCUCCGCUGACGAGUGGCGAACGGGUGAGUAAUAUAUCGGAACGUACCCAAGAGUGGGGGAUAACGUAGCGAAAGUUACGCUAAUACCGCAUACGAUCCAAGGAUGAAAGUGGGGGACCGCAAGGCCUCAUGCUCCUGGAGCGGCCGAUAUCUGAUUAGCUAGUUGGUGAGGUAAAGGCUCACCAAGGCAACGAUCAGUAGCUGGUCUGAGAGGACGACCAGCCACACUGGGACUGAGACACGGCCCAGACUCCUACGGGAGGCAGCAGUGGGGAAUUUUGGACAAUGGGGGCAACCCUGAUCCAGCAAUGCCGCGUGAGUGAAGAAGGCCUUCGGGUUGUAAAGCUCUUUUGUCAGGGAAGAAACGGUUUCGGCUAAUAUCCGGAGCUAAUGACGGUACCUGAAGAAUAAGCACCGGCUAACUACGUGCCAGCAGCCGCCGUAACAC
rnacentral:rRNA from 1 species